rnacentral:rRNA from 1 species
UACGGAGGAUCCGAGCGUUAUCCGGAUUUAUUGGGCGUAAAGGGCGCGCAGGCUGUAGAUCAAGUCAGCUGUGAAAUGUCUGGGCUUAACCCGGGCAUGCGGUUGAAACUGAUGUACUGGAGUGCUGUAGAGGCAAGUGGAAUUCCCAGUGUAGCGGUGAAAUGCGUAGAUAUUGGGAAGAACACCGGUGGCGAAGGCGACUUGCUGGGCAGCAACUGACGCUGAGGCGCGAAAGCGUGGGGAGCGAACAGGGAUUA